rnacentral:lncRNA from 1 species
AGCUUCAACAUCGAGCAAAUCUCAGACGAACUUCUCUAGCAGCCGGACCCCUAUCGAUCUUCACCAACAGAAAGUUUCCAUCCGAGCUUCUCUUAGAUCGGCAGCAUAGAGAGCCAUCCCUCUCCAUCAGAUAUCCCAGCCGAGCUCCAGCCGACAGAUCCGAACUCUCCGACAAGUCACGACAAUGGCCACCACCCUGCUCCACUCUCUGCAACAGAUCCCGCGUGGCUCCACUACUCUCUGGUAAGUCGCGACAACAGACACCACUCCACUCUCCGUAACAAACUCCAUGUGGCCCUGAACGACCCCUGACGCCACUACUCUCCGUAACA